rnacentral:rRNA from 1 species
GUAAGGAAUAUUGGUCAAUGGACGAAAGUCUGAACCAGCCAUGCCGCGUGGAGGAUGAAGGUCCUCUGGAUUGUAAACUUCUUUUAUAUGGGACGAAAAUGGGGCUUUCUAGCUCAACUGACGGUACCAUAUGAAUAAGCACCGGCUAACUCCGUGCCAGCAGCCGCGGUAAUACGGAGGGUGCAAGCGUUAUCCGGAUUCACUGGGUUUAAAGGGUGCGUAGGUGGAUUGGUAAGUCAGAGGUGAAAUCUCCGGGCUCAACUCGGAAACUGCCUGUGAUACUAUCAAUCUUGAAUAUUGUGGAGGUUAGCGGAAUAUGUCAUGUAGCGGUGAAAUGCUUAGAUAUGACAUAGAACACCAAUUGCGAAGGCAGCUGGCUACACAUAUAUUGACACUGAGGCACGAAAGCGUGGGGAUCAAACAGGAUUAGAAACCCGUGUAGUCC